GAUGAACGCUGGCGGCGUGCUUAACACAUGCAAGUCGAACGAUCAGACGCAGCUUUCGGUGUUGAGUCGUUGCGGACGGAUGGGUGACACAUGAGUAACCUACCCUUAUCUAUGAGAGGGGCAAGUUAGACAAAGUGGAGCACCUAAUGGGAGCUUUCACCACAUGGUUGGUUUUAUAGAGAAAUAUCGUUUUUGUAUUACCUCGCGCCGCAUCAGCUUGUUGUUGAGGUAACGGCACACCAAGGCGACGAUGCGUAGCCGACCUGAGAGGGUGAUCGGCCACACUGAAACUGAGACGCGGUCCAGACUCCUACGGGAGGCAGCAGUAGGGAAGCUUCCGCAAUGGGCGAAAGCCUGACGGAGCAACGCCGCGUGAGUGAUGAAGGUCUUCGUAUCGUAAAACUCUGUUAUUAGGGAAGAACAAAUGUGUAAGUAACUAUGCGCGUCUUGACGGUACCUAAGCAGAAAGCCACGGCUAACUACGU
rnacentral:rRNA from 1 species